ensembl:snRNA U6 U6 spliceosomal RNA
UUCAGCAACACAUACACUAAAAUAUAUUAAAAUUAGAAUGAUCCAAAGAGAUUUGCAUGGCCCUGGUCCUAGGAUGACACGAAUAUUCAUGAAACAUUUCACAUUUUG